GCAGCAAACAGCUGAGUGCAUUAACAAUACUGUGUCUGUGAAGCAGCAAGAUGAACUAUGAGGUUGCUAUCAUUCAUCUUAUGGGGGUAGACAUGCUGACAGGCACAGGAAGCCAAAGUUUAUCCUGCAGAGGAUCCUCUAGACCCAGAGCUCUGUCCCUCAGGACUCCAGCCGACUGCCUUAGCUUCUUCCCUGCUCGUUGCCAGUGAUUUCAGGCUAUUCCAGUCGUCAAUACUAGAGUGGGAAAUGCAAAUGGGAAAAGAAGGAGUUGCAGAGAGGUAAAACAGCCACCAGACACGAACGCUCUAUGUUAGUCUGCCCUUGAGUAACAGAGGGUGGAGAGGGAUGGAUGGAAGCAUUCUAGACCACCUGCUAUCUAAGAAAGGUUUGGAAAACCUGUCAAGGAAUUCUUGAGCCAAAGUCAGCCAUCUGGGAAGUUCUGGGUCUCCGGAGAACAAUUCUACCACGUCAGCCUUGCAAGUUCGAAUCUGGCUGAGAAUAGCUCACAGGAGAAGCACGCCUGCUGUACAACUCAGGCAACCGAUUUCACAGACACUCCCUUGGCUCUUGGUGAAUUGCUCGCCCUCCAACUGGAGGCCUGCAAGGGCAUGCUCACAGCCAUCACAGCUUCACCGCAGAGAGAAAGAAAAUGAGACCCAGGCAGCUUAGAGGACGAAGCCAAGGUCAAGUGGCCCGAUUGCAGAGCCAGGAUUAAAAGUAGAAGAAUCUAACUUGGAAAUCACUUCUGCGGCGGAGCACAGGAAAGGAAGAAUUAAGAAACAAGGCAAUUUCAGUCAGAGAGGCCCUUCUGUUAAAACUCAAAGGAAGACUGGCAUGAAAAUGGUUUCUGAUCUGUGGAGGAAACUCCUAUUUCCUAGCAGUGAUGGAGUUUUUCCCACAUAGCAUAUCAAUAACGGACAGAUCCCAUAGUGUAAUGGCCUAUCAUACUUUGCAGCUUCCACAGAAAGGCAUUUAACAGUAAAAGAGCUGUAGAGAGCCGAUAUAAAAGGAGAUGUUGGGUGAAGGGCAGAAACUCUCAAAGAAUACUUUUUAAAGAUUUAUUUGCCUUUUAUGUAAGUACACUGUCUCUGUCUUCAGAUGCACCAGAAGAGGGCGUCCAUCAGAGUCCAUUACAGAUGGUUGUGAGCCACCAUGUGGUUGCUGGGAAUUGAACUCAGGACCUCUGGAAAAGUAGUUAGUGCUCUUAACCUCUGAGCCAUCUCUCCAGCUCCGUCAAAGAGUGUUUAAAAAAAAAAAAAGAAAGAAAGAAUACAUUGGAAGGAAUUUUCCCUUCCGUUUGUGUUCACUUUUAAAUCGUUUCUCAUGAGUGUUCAGAACAUUACUUUAUCAUUACCUGUGUGGGGAUGAAAACAGGCGCCCAUGCGGCCGAAGUCAGGUUUUGGUGGUUGAAUAACUUCCUAGUGGUUUCGCCAUGUGCCGCAGACUUUACUGUAUCAUUCUUUCAUAGAUCCAAUCAAUAAACAUUUGAGCUUGCCUUGUUC